rnacentral:rRNA from 1 species
GUAAACGGCGGCCGUAACUAUAACGGUCCUAAGGUAGCGAAAUUCCUUGUCGGGUAAGUUCCGACCUGCACGAAUGGCGUAACGAUGGCCACACUGUCUCCUCCCGAGACUCAGCGAAGUUGAAGUGUUUGUGAUGAUGCAAUCUACCCGCGGCUAGACGGAAAGACCCCAUGAACCUUUACUGUAGCUUUGCAUUGGACUUUGAACCGGUCUGUGUAGGAUAGGUGGGAGGCUUUGAAGCGUGGACGCCAGUCUGCGUGGAGCCAACCUUGAAAUACCACCCUGGUUUGUUUGAGGUUCUAACCUUGGUCCGUUAUCCGGACUGGGGACAGUGCAUGGUAGGCAGUUUGACUGGGGCGGUCUCCUCCCAAAGUGUAACGGAGGAGUACGAAGGUACGCUAGGUACGGUCGGAAAUCGUGCUGAUAGUGCAAUGGCAUAAGCGUGCUUAACUGCGAGACCGACAAGUCGAGCAGGUGCGAAAGCAGGUCAUAGUGAUCCGGUGGUUCUGUAUGGAAGGGCCAUCGCUCAACGGAUAAAAGGUACUCUGGGGAUAACAGGCUGAUACCGCCCAAGAGUUCAUAUCGACGGCGGUGUUUGGCACCUCGAUGUCGGCUCAUCUCAUCCUGGGGCUGUAGCCGGUCCCAAGGGUAUGGCUGUUCGCCAUUUAAAGAGGUACGUGAGCUGGGUUUAAAACGUCGUGAGACAGUUUGGUCCCUAUCUGCCGUGGGCGCUGGAUAUUUGAAGGGGGCUGCUCCUAGUACGAGAGGACCGGAGUGGACGAACCUCUGGUGUACCGGUUGUCACGCCAGUGGCAUCGCCGGGUAGCUAUGUUCGGAAGAGAUAACCGCUGAAAGCAUCUAAGCGGGAAACUCGCCUUAAGAUGAGAUAUCCCCGGGGCUUCGAGCCCCUUGAAGGGUCGUUCAAGACCAGGACGUUGAUAGGUCAGGUGUGGAAGCGCAGUAAUGCGUUAAGCUAACUGAUACUAAUUGCCCGU